CGAGCCAAUCGCUGCUCCCUUCCCGUCGCGAGUCCGCGCCGCCGCCGCGGGUGAGUCUCUCCGUCUCGGCGCCUCCACGUCAAGGUGCCACAAUUCCGCUUCCCCGUCUCGUGACUGCAGCGCCGGAUCCACCCGGACGUAUCGAUCUGCAGCGGCGCGGUGUCUCGACCUCGUCCUCCUUUUCCGCAUCCACCACGGCGCCUCCACCUCGUCUUCCCUGUCGACAUCAAUUUCAAGGACCUGCUAAGUGCAAUAUCCAGAUCAAGAACAAGCCAUACAAUAGUCAAAUUUAACCCAACGUCAGGACUUGAGGUAACUGUAAAUUCAAUCAACCAUUUCCGGGUUAUUAACUAGAAUUGUUUAGUGUAGUUACAUUUUUCUGAGAUGUGGUUUGAAGCACCAGAGCUACGUUGUAAGCUUUGGUUCUACAAUUGUUUGGAGUCCUGGCUAAGCUUUAACUAGAAUCAUCUGAAUAUCUGAUAUGUUUGUAAAUUGAACAUCAAGUUGGUGAUACUAAAACAUUUUUUCUUUUUUUUUGCUGUGAAAAGUGUUUUAAACUGAAGACGUGAGGUUGGCAUUUUUAUUUUUCAAUCUGAAUGUAUUGAUAUAUGGGUAAUCAAUGUGUCGCAUAUUUAGUACUUACUAUGAUUCUAUUUUUUUCUAGGAAAGAAUAUUUUUAAACAUGGAAAGAACAGACGUAAUGGUUGAGAGGCGAGUCAUAAGAUCAGUUGUGACAGUUGUAGAGGUGGGAGGUAGAAAUUAUUGUAGUGGUUUUAUUGCCCAGGUAGAUGCAAGGCACACUUAUAUAGUUACACAAUCAUAUUUUGUCAUGGGACAAGAGAAGCGCCUAAGGGUCCGCUUUUGUGACAAGGUCAAGAAAGAGGCUUUAGUUGUUGGCAAGGUUCACAGUUCCCUUUGUUUGCUAAGAACAGAUCCUCAUACAGGGUGCCAAGCUGUGAGAGUGUCGAAUGACGAUAUCCAACUUGAGCAAACUCUAGUUUUUCCUCCUUCAUCUCCGACCACCUACUUCAGAAUUAUGAGUUUUUGUCACUGCACAAUCUCUUACAGCAUAAGGCCUACGCACCGACGAGGUUAUUGCAGGUACUACGGCUCAGUUCUUGUUAACCUGCCAUUAUGGAUCAUGCACUUCUGAUGGGUUUAACAGAUUGGUGGUUGCUCCGGUGUAUAACUUGAAAGGCUACUUUGUGGGCAUAGUCAUUGAUAACUGCCUCAACCAUGUGAACAUUGGGAUGAGAGAGUUAUGGACUGAAAUGAGAGGGACUGCAAUGAAAGUUAUACUUCCAGCAAAGGCAAUUCCUAUUAUGUUAGCACAUCUCUUGGGCAAACCAGAGCAAAUUGAGAACAGGAAAAGAAAGCUUGGUGGAGUUGACUGUUUUAAGGAGAGAGGAAAUGACGGAGGCAAGGGCAGGCCCAAGGGCUUGCAUACAAGCAAAUGAUGCAAUAGCAUCGGAGCCCGGACAGAUUUCAUUGUUUGCUGAUUCGGAAGAUGGACCUGGAGGCGAGGAUCCUGUAGUCAAGCGUCAAGGCUGGUUUGUUGGUUUGGUUGCAAAGCUAUGGGAGUAUAAAUCUGACCUCGACAAUGUCAAGAGCGAGCUCAAGAGGAUAUCAGCACCCAACGCAAGGCAGGCUACUACUCGGGAGGGGCUCCUUGAAUCUGGCAUGGCUGACACUCCUGCGGUGAGCUCCCAGACUCCUAUCAAUUGCUUAAUACUAGUAGUACUUUCUAGAAUCUAUCUACUCUACUGAAUGUUUAAGUACAGUUAUGCUGCAGUGCAUAACCUAUAUAACAUCAGAGUGUUUAUUAAAGAUUGCAGUAAAACAAAUCCAUGACAGGUCCGCUAUUUGUGAGCUAGCAAGAACUGAUGCCUGAUGAUGAUCUGUGUUUGUGCUUUUAAAUUUGGAUGCAAUAUUUCAUAUCAUGCGACUUUCUUGAUGCUGAAAUGCCAGCUGACAUUUUUUUCUUUUUAUUUUCAUCCUGUGUUGUUAUCCCUAUAAGCAUGAUUGAUGGAGACGUAUUGGAUUUUCAUUUGUUUGGAAACAUUUUUUAAAUUUGUACGCCCUUGCUCAUGUGUGUUGCUAUGUUUGUUGGUGGUGAAACUGAGGAAAAUAAUGCUGGUAGUGAUUUCAACGAGUUAUCCUUGUUGCUCAUGUUUUUUUGGCUGUAUGGCAAUUUGAUAGUUCUCAUCCCCCAUGAGAGAAGAACAAUAUAUAGUUUGUACAUAUAAUUAACACUAUAGUUUGUCCUAUCUGAUUCCCCAAGUCAUCUAGUACUAUUGCAAUUAGAAGUAGAGCAUUUUGGUCCAUAUAAACUCUUUUCAAAUAUGUUACUCCACAAGUGAAUGUUUUCCUUUCCUGCAUGUCCUAUCCCUUUUAUUGGUUCAAUCAUGUUAGGUUGAAAACUUCUUUCGUUGAAACUUUGAAUUACAAAUAGCUUAUACUAGAAUUACACCCUAACUCAGUACUGUAAUUUUCUAGGUUACUGUAAAACGUUAGAGCAGAUUGUAUUUUGGUUACUGUAAUUUUCUCACUUCAGUUCUGUAUUUGGGACAGGUUGUGGAAAUAGGAUUGUUGAUAUAUCCAAAUUACAUUAUUGGUGAAUAUUUGAAGUAGGGCCAAUUACAAUGCUAAAUGUUCUUUCAUAUUAGCUUAUUCAAAAUGACUUUUUGCAACACUGGUUUCCUAUUUAGCAAUCUAACAGUGCUCUGUGUUCCAUAACCUUACAGAUUGGUUCCUCUUCCUAUGUCCAUUGUAUUUUUAUGAUAUCGACCCCUGUUUUGUGUUAAGUAUAUAUAGUGUCGAGUCUUUGUGUCUCUUUCUAUUUUAAUUUAGUUAGUAGUCUAUCAGUUAAUUACCUGAACAUGUUAGUGUUGUUAGCAGCUCCUAAUCAUUAGGGAGUGGAAUCAGAAGAGCCACUUAUUCUCCUCAGGAUGUGUCCUGAUUUUUUAGGGGCCAUAGUGGCCAUUAGCAUCUUCCACUCAGGCCUUCUUUUACUCUUCUAUAGGAGAACAAGAUAAUGCUAAAGCUGUGGUUGCAGCAAAAUACUUGCCUGUCUUACUCUUUUAGUUUGGUGAGUUGAGAGCUUAAGAUUUAUUGUGGACUCAAUCUGCAAAUAAAAUUAUCUUCCAAUAAGGUGUUGUUUUACUAGAUGUACAAGACUCAUUUCUUAAGGUGUUGUUUUACUAGAUGUACAAGACUCAUUUCUUAAUUUCUUAUGAGACUAGAUAAAUGUAUGGUUGUACAUAUAGUUAACAUUACAGUUUACCUUGUCUCAUUCCCCAAGUAGUGUAGUACUACUGCAAUUAGAAGUAGAGCAUUUUGGUCCACAUAAACUCUUUUUAAAUAUGCUACUCUAUGACUGAAUAUUUGUCUUCCUGCCUGUCAUAUGCCUUUUAUUGGUUUGCUCAUUCCAAGUUGAAAACUUUCAUUUAAACUUUGAUCUAUAGUCCCGAUAUGAGCAAUCAAGUAAAUAUGAAAAUAUUGCCCGAAAUUACAGAAUUUUUAUGCUAGAACUACACCCUCAUUAAGUGUUAUAAUUUUGUAGUUUGUUACUAUAAAACAUAAUAGUGAGCAAUACUUCACUAGGAUUUUCUAUGCUAAAAAUACCCAAGUAUUUUUACUCAUUUGUUAUUGUAAUUUUCUCAUUUGUAUUUUGUUUCAUUUUCUUUUAUUUCUUUUUUUAAAUUUUUUUUUGACUAGUUGUGUCCAUUAUGGGGAUUCCUGGGUCAGUCGAUUUCGCUAUCUAUUUGUCAUUUGGAUCUGUGACUACAAAAUAACAACUAACUUAUGCUAGAAUUACACCCUCAUGUAGCACUAUAAUUUACUCAUUCAUUACUGUAAAUUUGAAAAUCCUGGUAUUUUGAUAGGAAUAUGAGAUCCAUGGUUUUCUAUUUCUGAUUACAUUCUAUUUAGUGAAGCUAGGUUAUUGUAUUUGUGUG